GAAGAGAUGGAGAAGCCUCUGCUGAGAGACACGCUCUUCCUUUACCAAGGGAUAGAAAUGGUAGAAUAGGAACCUAUACAAAAUAUCAUUUCAAGGAUCAAAUGGAGUUUCUCUGAUUGCAGCUGGAAACAUCUACUUGCUAACGCUGGCGGGUGGGACUCCUGUUCCUACUAAACGCAUCUAGUCAGACUAGCUUGCUUCAUAUUUGAAUGCAGAGAGUUCAAGAGCAACCAUCCAGGAACCAGCUCGAGUGGUCGAGGAGAAUCGAGUCCAUGGCUAUUAUGUCAUCAUGUCAGGAAACAUGACACCAGAUGGAUGAGCAUGGUACUGGAGCAGCAGGUGGCAGAGAAGUAUUGAGCUUGCAGUUGUGCAAAGGCGAAUUCAGAAGCAAUCCAAGCCAUACUCUGGCCUCUGUGCAGAAUCAAAUCCAUCACACAGAGGAGAUAAGACAGCACAGUUUAAUGUCCUGUUCAAAGAAACUGUAUCUCCAGAUGCUGUGCAGGCUUCUCCAUUCAUCCAGAUGUCUGCCUUCAUGAAGAUGAUCCAUGAAGAUAAGUUUCCUUCCCCCAUCGUCCUUCCUGCCUCCCAACAGCUAUUAUACAAUAGCAGACCUUGCAUGGUUUAUGGAAACAUAUCAUCUCACUUAUGAAGGGGAAACAUACAAUAAAUAUAAACCACUAGUUACAA
rnacentral:lncRNA from 1 species